rnacentral:rRNA from 1 species
AGAAUCAACGCUGGCGGCGUGCCUAACACAUGCAAGUCGAACGAGAAAGUGGAGCAAUCCAUGAGUAAAGUGGCGCACGGGUGAGUAACACGUGACUAACCUACCCUUGAGUGGGGAAUAACUGAGGGAAACCUUAGCUAAUACCGCAUAAUACCUACGGGUCAAAGGAGCAAUUCGCUUAAGGAGGGGGUCGCGGCAGAUUAGCUAGUUGGCGGGUAAUGGCCCACAAGGCAGUGAUCUGUA